AUGCCGCUCCUGCUCCAGCGCCUCGUCGCCGCCGUCGCCGCCGCGGCUCCCCUCCGCCGCUACCUCUGCACGGCGGUCCCACGCCCUCCCUGGGCCAUGGUGAACAGCCAGGCGGCGCUGGACGCGUCAGGGGCGCCGUCGCAGAGCGCGCGCGCGCUCGUCGACCUCAACAGCACCCCCUGCGUCUCCCACCUCUCCGUCCCCGCUCGCCUCGUCGCCCCCCACGGCGACGACAUGGGUUCCCUCGUGGGCAUCGUCCGCGGCGCCAGCUGCGACGGCCUCCUCCUCCUCGACUUCAUCGACGCCCGCCACCGCCCCUUGUGGCCACACGAGUUCGCCGCGGCCCGCGGCGGCGUGGAACCGGAGGGCGAGCUCUUCGUCUGCAACCCUCUCAGCGGGCAGCUGGUCCGCCUCCCGGCCCCGGGCAUGGAUGUCCCCAAAAUGGGAAGUACCUCUUUCGGCCUGCUCACCCAAUCUCAAGGCUCACACGGCCCGCCUGACAGGUACGCCGUCGCUCAGCUCAGCAAAAGCAGUCGCGGGGGAGGGGAGUGCCGCAGGGUCGUGCGCCGGUUUCUGUCCGAGACAGGGGAGUGGGACGAGCGGCCGCUGGUCGGGGUGGCCGAGAUGGACACUGCGCGGAGCAUGCUGAUCAACCAUGAGGUGCUGGCGUUCGGCGACCGGCUGUGGUGGGUGGACGUGGCCUGGGGCGCCUGCUCCGUCGACCCCUUCAGCGACCGGCCGGAGCGCCGCUUCGCCGAGCUGCCGCGCUCCAGCGUGCUGCCUGUUUCUGAUUCCCCGACGCUGAGCAGGUACCGGCGCAUGGGGGUCAGCGACGGGAAGCUGCGCUACGUCCAAGUGUCCCAUGGACACAAGCACGACAAGUGGUGCGUGAUCCUUUCCUUUUCGCUGGAUGACGAGACCUACAGCUGGGCGCUGGAUCAGGGAGUUGAAAUUACAGGUCGGCACGACCCUUGCUAUGUUCAAAUUGCUGCCAUAGAUCCAUUCAAUGCCGACCUUGUGUACCUCCAACAUGGUAGUGCUGUUAUUGCCAUGGACCUGGCUGAGGGGGAGGAGAUUUGGAGGGGUUACCUGGCCAAGGAAUUCGCCUUUCAGAAGUUGCUCCACUGUAGUCUUCUUGUUCCGUGCGUGCUCCCAACAUGGCUUGCCACAAGCCAUAUCCCUUCUGCAGGAACCCUUUCAAGCAACAAGGCCGAUUGCAAAAGGAAGAGUUUGGCAGACAUGCUGGUUCGCGUAGACAAAUGCUAG
rnacentral:rRNA from 1 species